AUUGAACGCUGGCGGCAGGCUUAACACAUGCAAGUCGAGCGGGGUGAUGGUGCUUGCACUAUCACUUAGCGGCGGACGGGUGAGUAAUGCUUAGGAAUCUGCCUAUUAGUGGGGGACAACUUCUCGAAAGGGAUGCUAAUACCGCAUACGUCCUACGGGAGAAAGCAGGGGAUCACUUGUGACCUUGCGCUAAUAGAUGAGCCUAAGUCGGAUUAGCUAGUUGGUGGGGUAAAGGCCUACCAAGGCGACGAUCUGUAGCGGGUCUGAGAGGAUGAUCCGCCACACUGGGACUGAGACACGGCCCAGACUCCUACGGGAGGCAGCAGUGGGGAAUAUUGGACAAUGGGGGGAACCCUGAUCCAGCCAUGCCGCGUGUGUGAAGAAGGCCUUAUGGUUGUAAGGCACUUUAAGCGAGGAGGAGGCUCUUUUGGUUAAUACCCAAGAUGAGUGGACGUUACUCGCAGAAUAAGCACCGGCUAACUCUGUGCCAGCAGCCGCGGUAA
rnacentral:rRNA from 1 species